rnacentral:rRNA from 1 species
GCGUGGGUGAAGAAGGCCUUCGGGUUGUAAAGCCCUUUUGUUGGGAAAGAAAAGCAUUCGGUUAAUACCCGGGUGUUCUGACGGUACCCAAAGAAUAAGCACCGGCUAACUUCGUGCCAGCAGCCGCGGUAAUACGAAGGGUGCAAGCGUUACUCGGAAUUACUGGGCGUAAAGCGUGCGUAGGUGGUGGUUUAAGUCCGUAGUGAAAGCCCUGGGCUCAACCUGGGAAUUGCAGUGGAUACUGGAUCACUAGAGUGUGGUAGAGGAUAGUGGAAUUUCCGGUGUAGCAGUGAAAUGCGUAGAGAUCGGAAGGAACAUCUGUGGCGAAGGCGACUAUCUGGGCCAACACUGACACUGAGGCACGAAAGCGUGGGGAGCAAACUGGAUUAGAUACCCUGGUAGUCCACGCCCUAAACGAUGCGAACUGGAUGCUGGGUUCAACUUGGAACCCAGUAUCGAAGCUAACGCGUUAAGUUCGCCGCCUGGGGAGUACGGUCGCAAGACUGAAACUCAAAGGAAUUGACGG